rnacentral:piRNA from 1 species
UAGUGGCAAAAGCCUACCUGCUAUUGGUGU